AACUUUCAACAACGGAUCUCUUGGCUAUCGCAUCGAUGAAGAACGCAGCGAAAUGCGAUAAGUAAUGUGAAUUGCAGUAUUCAGUGAAUCAUCGAAUCUUUGAACGCACCUUGCGCACCUUGGUAUUCCGAGGAGCAUGCUUGUUUGAGUGUCAUUAAAUUCUCAACCCUGUCAAAGUUGUUAUUCUACUUUGAAGUAGGGCUUGGAUUUGGGUGUUGCAGGCUUUUUAAUAGUCGGCUCUCCUUAAAAGUAUUAGCGGAACUUUUUGUAAGCCGUCUACAUAGUGUGAUAAUUAUCUACGCUAUUGAUGUUGCUUACGCUAAUAUCAUAAAAGUUCAGCUUCUAAUAGUCCAUCUUGGACAAUAUCAAUAUUUAUAUUGAUGACCAUUUGACCUCAAAUCAAGUAGGACUACCCGCUGAACUUAAGCAUAUCAAUAAGCGGAGGCC
rnacentral:misc_RNA from 1 species